AUUGAACGCUGGCGGCAUGCUUUACACAUGCAAGUCGAACGGUAACAGCACUUCGGUGGCUGACGAGUGGCGAACGGGGGAGUAAUACAUCGGAACGUGCCUAGUAGUGGGGGAUAACUACUCGAAAGAGUAGCUAAUACCGCAUGAGAUCUAAGGAUGAAAGCAGGGGACCUUCGGGCCUUGCGCUACUAGAGCGGCGGAUGGCAGACUAGGUAGUCGGUGGGAUAAAAGCUUACUAAGCCGACGAUCUGUAGCUGGUCUGAGAGGACGAGGAGCCACACUGGCACUGAGACGCGGCCCAGACUCCUACGGUGGGCCGCAGUGGAGAAUCUUGGACAAUGGGCGAGUGCCUGAUCCAGCACUGCCGCGUGCAGGAUGAAGGCCUUCUGGUUGUUGACUGCUUUUGUACGUAACGAAAAACCCUCUUCUAAUACAGGAGGGUCAUGACGGUACCGUAAGAAUAAGCACCGGCUAACUCCGUG
rnacentral:rRNA from 1 species